rnacentral:rRNA from 1 species
CAAGUCGAACGAAUCCCAGCUUUGUAGCAAUACCGAGCUGGGGGAAGUGGCGAAAGGGGCAGUAAUGCGUGGGUAACCUACCUCGGGGACGUGGAUAGCCAUUCUAACGAGUGGGUAAUACGCGGCGAUUUGAUUGAGGGGCAUCCCUUGGUCAGGAAAUGAAUUUCGCCUCGAGAGGGGCUCACGUGAUAUUAGCUAGUUGGUGGGGUAACGGCCCACCAAGGCAAAGAUGUCUAGCGGGUGUGAGAGCACGACCCGCGCCACUGGCACUGAGACACUGGCCAGACACCUACGGGUGGCUGCAGUCGAGGAUCUUUGGCAAUGAGCGCAAGCUUGACCAAGCGACGCCGCGUGUGCGAUGAAGGCCUUCGGGUUGUAAAGCACUGUCGAGGGGGACGAAGCCGCAAGGUUGACCGAUCCCUGGAGGAAGCACGGGCUAAGUUCGUGCCAGCAGCCGCGGUAAGACGAACCGUGCGAACGUUGUUCGGAAUCACUGGGCUUAAAGGGCGCGUAGGCGGCUUGCCAAGUCAGUGGUGAAAUCCCGCAGCUUAACUGCGGAAGUGCCUUUGAUACUGGCGAGCUCGAGGGAGGUAGGGGUAUGUGGAACUUCUGGUGGAGCGGUGAAAUGCGUUGAUAUCAGAAGGAACGCCGGUGGCGAAAGCGACGUACUGGACCUCUUCUGACGCUGAGGCGCGAAAGCUAGGGGAGCAAACGGGAUUAGAUACCCCGGUAGUCCUAGCCCUAAACGAUGGGUACUAGGUUGUGGACUAACAUGGGUU